CCCUUAGACGUUCUGGGCCGCACGCGCGCUACACUGACCAGUGCAACAAGCAUCCGUCCUUGGCCGACAGGCCCGGGCAAUCUUUGAACGCUGGUCGUGAUGGGGAUAGACUUUUGCAAUUUUUGGUCUUCAACGAGGAAUUCCUGGUAAACGCAAGUCAUCAACUUGCAUUGAUUACGUCCCUGCCCUUUGUACACACCGCCCGUCGCACCUACCGAUUGAAUGGUCCGGUGAAGCCUCCGGAUUGGCGCGCACCUCGGUGCCGCCGAGAAGUUGGCUAAACCUUACCAUUUAGAGGAAGGUGAANUCGUANCA
rnacentral:rRNA from 1 species